GACGAACGCUGGCGGCGUGCUUAACACAUGCAAGUCGAACGAAGUGGCGAACGUGUGAGUAACGCGUAAUCAACCUGCCCUUCAGGGGGGGACAACAGUUGGAAACGACUGCUAAUACCGCAUACUGAAGGAGGGGAUUGCGUCUGAUUAGCUGGUUGGAGGGGUAACGGCCCACCAAGGCGAUGAUCAGUAGCCGGGCAGAAAGGAGGAGCUGCCACAUUGGGACUGGAACACGGACCAGACUCCUAAGGGAGGCAGCAGUUGGGAAUCUUCCGAAAUGGACGAAAGUCUGACUGAGCAACGCCGGGGGAGUGAUGACGGCCUGCGGGUUGUAAAGCUCUGGUAAUCGUGACGCGGUACCGUAAUAGAAAGCCACGGCUAACUACGUGCCAGCAGCCGCGGUAAUAC
rnacentral:rRNA from 1 species